rnacentral:rRNA from 1 species
GACGAACGCUGGCGGCGUGCUUAACACAUGCAAGUCGAACGAAGAGCGAUGGAAGCUUGCUUCUAUCAAUCUUAGUGGCGAACGGGUGAGUAACGCGUAAUCAACCUGCCCUUCAGAGGGGGACAACAGUUGGAAACGACUGCUAAUACCGCAUACGAUCUAAUCUCGGCAUCGAGGAUAGAUGAAAGGUGGCCUCUACAUGUAAGCUAUCACUGAAGGAGGGGAUUGCGUCUGAUUAGCUAGUUGGAGGGGUAACGGCCCACCAAGGCGAUGAUCAGUAGCCGGUCUGAGAGGAUGAACGGCCACAUUGGGACUGAGACACGGCCCAGACUCCUACGGGAGGCAGCAGUGGGGAAUCUUCCGCAAUGGACGAAAGUCUGACGGAGCAACGCCGCGUGAGUGAUGACGGCCUUCGGGUUGUAAAGCUCUGUUAAUCGGGACGAAAGGCCUUCUUGCGAAUAGUGAGAAAGGAAUUGACGGACCGGAAUAAAAAAGCCCC